GACGAACGCUGGCGGCGUGCUUAACACAUGCAAGUCGAACGGAAAGGCCCUGCUUUUGUGGGGUGCUCGAGUGGCGAACGGGUGAGUAACACGUGAGUAACCUGCCCUUGACUUUGGGAUAACUUCAGGAAACUGGGGCUAAUACCGGAUAGGAGCUCCUGCUGCAUGGUGGGGGUUGGAAAGUUUCGGCGGUUGGGGAUGGACUCGCGGCUUAUCAGCUUGUUGGUGGGGUAGUGGCUUACCAAGGCUUUGACGGGUAGCCGGCCUGAGAGGGUGAUCGGCCACAUUGGGACUGAGAUACGGCCCAGACUCCUACGGGAGGCAGCAGUGGGGAAUACUGCACAAUGGGCGGAAGCCUGAUGCAGCAACGCCGCGUGCGGGAUGACGGCCUUCGGGUUGUAAACCGCUUUCGCCUGUGACGAAGCGUGAGUGACGGUAAUGGGUAAAGAAGCACCGGCUAACUACGUG
rnacentral:rRNA from 1 species